rnacentral:rRNA from 1 species
CCUACGGGAGGCAGCAGUGAGGAAUAUUGGUCAAUGGGCGUAAGCCUGAACCAGCCAAGUCGCGUGAGGGAUGAAGGUUCUAUGGAUCGUAAACCUCUUUUAUAAGGGAAUAAAGUGUGGGACUUGUCCUAUGUUGUAUGUACCUUAUGAAUAAGGAUCGGCUAACUCCGUGCCAGCAGCCGCGGUAAUACGGAGGAUCCGAGCGUUAUCCGGAUUUAUUGGGUUUAAAGGGUUCGUAGGCGGGCUUUUAAGUCAGAGGUGAAAGGCCGUGGCUCAACCUGAGAAUUGCCGUUAAAACUGGGGGGCUUGAGUAUGGUUGAGGCAGGCGGAAUGCGUGGUGUAGCGGUGAAAUGCUGAGAUAUCACGCAGAACCCCGAUUGCGAAGGCAGCCUGCCAGGCCAUGACUGACGCUGAUGCACGAAAGCGUGGGGAUCAAACAGGAUUAGAUACCCGAGUAGUC